GUCUACGGCCAUGCCACCUUGAACAAGCCCGAUAUCUGAUCUUGUGAAGCUAAGCAGGGUUGGGCCUGGUUAGUACUGGGAUGGGAGACCACCUAGGAAGACCAGGUGCUGUAGACA
rnacentral:rRNA from 1 species